UUCUGUAUGAGGUUUGCAAGAGUGAUAUGGUUAGGUUGUGGUUGGUGUUGAUGUUUGAGUUAGCUGGCCAUUCACGAGAAACGGAAUAUGUAGAGCCGUGGAUUGCCUGGGGUUGGUUAGGUUAGGUUAGGUUAGGUUAGUGGGUCUAGUGUAUGAGGUUUGUGAGAGUGAUAUGGUCAUGUUGUGGUUGGUGUUGAUGUUUGAGUUAGUUGGCCAUUCACGAGAGACGGAAUAUGUAGAUGAUAGUUGGAUAGACUGAUAGAUAGAUAGAUAAAUGGAGAAAUAAUAGAUCUUGUACGGGAAACGGAUAAUAUAUAUAAUAGAUAGAUGGAUAGUGACAAUGACUGAUAAGUAGAUAGAAAAAUAUAGUCAGAUUGAUAGACAGAAAGAAUAUGAAAAAGAUACAACGGAUAGACAGACAAGGAUAGAUAUAUCGAUAGUUAAACCGAUUGAUGGAAAAAAGGAAAAAAAAGAAGAAACUGGCGAAUGAAUAGACAUAGAUAGAUAAAGUUAGAUAAUCAGAUAGAUACAGAAACAUAAUAUAAAAUGGUGAAUAGACGCAAAUAUAGAUAGACAGAAAGACAGACAAGCAAAUAUACAGAUUACUAGACAGAAAAAAAAAUAGAAAAGAAAAACAACGACAUGAAGAGUGGCUAUUCACUGAUCUCUAAAGAAAACGAAUCAAAUUUUUUUUCGGGAGAACUCUUGGGAAAAAAAAAUUUGCGACAGUCAUAUAACAGAGGGAAUAUGUCUGUUGAACAAUAUUUCCUUCCGAUUCUUUCUUUUUUUCUUUUUCUCUUUUUCUCUCUUUUGCGUUUUCACAUUUACAUUCACAUCCACAUACAUCACAUUCACAUACAUUUCACAUUUACAUUCACAUCCGAUUCUUUCUUUCUUUCUUUGUCUCUUUCUUUCCCUCUUUUUCUCCUUUUCUCUCUUAUGCGUUUUCACAUUUACAUUUUUUUUUGCACGUUAGACACAACAACAAACAGUAUCUUCACAUCUAUCUUUACCACCAUCUCUCUCUCUCUCUCUCUCUCUCUCUCUCUCUCUCUCUCUCUCUCUCUCUCUCUCUCUCUCUCUCUCUCAUUUAAUAGAAGACAUUUUUAUUAUGUUUACGCAACACAACGACACACUUCCUUGAUUAUUAUUUAAACGUGGAGUGUUUGAGCCUCGGGGCGACUAAAGAACAAAGCGACCCCGACUAAGUCAUUUUCAAACUAAACAACAACAUAUUUCAACAAAGCAACCUGAACCGACUUGAGUAAGGAACACUAAAGACACAAUAAACACACUAGCAAAGCAAAACAACAACGCAUCUAAUAUUAAAAAUCAAAUAUAGAACAGACACCCUUGAAAAAAAAAAUCCAAUUCGUCCCUCAGAACAUGAAACAAUAUGAAAACGACCUUAAACAUACUCCAGACAAAGUUUCGCCGUACAUCGUCUCUUAGCCUUUCGCUCAUUCCCUAUCUCUGUCACUCAUGCCUUUUCCGAUACUUUUUUUUCGGAGAACGUGCACGAUAUUAACCGGACAACCUUAGAUACAGUUAGUAGUGUCCAUCCUUUCUUAACUUUUCGCUCAUCCUCAUCUCCAUCGCUCACCAAUUCUCCGAUAUUUUUUGGAGGAAGUGUACGAUGUUAAACGACACAUCAGCUCCAGGGAACAGGACGUAAUAGCACCUGUUUAUCACACGCUCUUUUGUUCGUUAGUGCAACAGCCUUUAGGUCCAUCCGGGUCGCAUAUUCCCGAUUUAGGUUGGGUUAAGGUUAGGUUAGGUUAGUAAAUGUUAGCUUAGGUUAGGUUAGGUUAGUAAAUGUUAGGUUAGGUUAGGUUAGGUUAGUAAAUGUUAGCUUAGGUUAGGUUAGGUUAGUAAAUGUUAGCUUAGGUUAGGUUAGGUUAGUAAAUGUUAGGUUAGGUUAGGUUAGGUUAGUAAAUGUUAGCUUAGGUUAGGUUAGGUUAGUAAAUGUUAGGUUAGGUUAGGUUAGGUUAGUAAAUGUUAGGUUAGGUUAGGUUAGGUUAGUAAAUGUUAGCUUAGGUUAGGUUAGGUUAGUAAAUGUUAGCUUAGGUUAGGUUAGGUUUGUAAAUGUUAGGUUAGGUUAGGCUAGGUUAAGUUAGGUUGGGUUAGUUAAGGUUAGGUUAGGUUAGUAAAGGUUAAGUGAGGAAAGGUAAACCGAGUGCUUUUUGUCGGGAAAUCCGCUGGGAAUAAUUAGAAGAGGAUUACACGUCACACACGGCUUCGCGGCUCAAGAAGGGGACAAUCACGCAGACACUUCAGGGAUAGGCGAAUACGCGAGUUCGAUUCCCACACACACCAAUAGGAAAGAGAUGACUGACAACCAUAAUCUCAUCACCUAUGCACCACUGAGCAGAGGAUGACUGAUAACCGAAAUUUCUGAGCCUACUUUUUAUUACAGCAAGGGAGGCAGAUCAACGGCAACAAGAUAUCAGGACACCUCUCCACCCGAAACUGACCCCUCUUUCGGCCACCUCCUUGGAUUCUCUUUAGGAGCAGCGAGUAGCGGGCAUUUUUUUUUUUAUUAUUGUUUCCUUUUUUUGUGCCCUUGAGCUGUCUCCUUUGUUGUAAAAAAAACAACUAACCAACAAAUAAAUAAACAAACAAAAAAGGUCGAUAUGCGUUGCUCCGGAAAUAGAAAACAGGGCCUACAGGUUUCCCAAGGUACUCCAUUAUCAAAGAAAUCACGGAAAAGUACCUGCUCUUCCUUGCCCUUCCUCUCGCCU